CCUGCUGCAGUUAACUGUUCUUAAUCAAGGCCAGGUUAAGUGGGAUCUGGGGUGGGGGGAGAAUGCUGAGAAAGCUCCAGUACUCUGCAUUUAUUUGUGUCAAAUCCUCCCUAUAUGAGGUGUCCUGGGGCAGGCUCAGGGAAGACAAAAACCUGGGGAGCAGAAUGGCAAAAGUACACUUAAUCUCAAUUUUCAGUGGGAAUACAGACCAUGCUAGCAUGGCCUCAGGUCUUCUGACCGUCUAGGUUUUAAGCAAGUGAUGUCAGAAAAGUUACCACAGAGAAAAUGCCCUGAGGCAGUCAAGUGUUAGCAAACUUAUUUCAGUCCUUGGAUGUCAGAUUUUCGUGUCACCACAGAACAGAAGUCACUGAGUGCUGGGCAGUUCACCCUCUAACAAUGAACGUGAGCUGGGUUUAGACUGCCGUGAGACACAUUA
rnacentral:ncRNA from 1 species